UAUUCCAGAACACUUUGUACUUGUCACACAUGCAGGUAUUCUAUUAGGAAGCGCGUUGCAGUUACCGUUCCUGUAGAUUUAGUUUCGGUGCUUUCAUCUCCUGGCUGUGCUCUAGUUUUCUCAUUUGAACCACAGUGUCUGUAACAGCUAGUGGUGGGUUUUCUUUUAAAAUACAUUUCAAAACUUGGAGUUAACCACCGAAUGUGAAGAGAUUUUGAUUCAGGGAGGAAGAUGAUAUUGGUGCUUCAGUUCUCCUCAUCUUCUUUAAUAUUCCAGAAGAGCUUGCUCUUGGGGGAUCAUGUAAGUUACCCCCAACAGUUGAGAACUUGGAUUUCAACUUCACGAUUGCUUGUCAAGGAAAGAGAAAGGAGCUUCAGAGUAACUCGGACUCCUCUGUAGGUGAGUGUUCUGCCCGAGCACACACCUGGGACAGAGCUGUCCUGUCGGGAAUGUGCAGAGCUCGUUCUGUGGGCUUUGCUGCUUCCCUGGGCUUGGACUGUCCUCCCAGUGCGUGCAGGGGAGACUGGCCAGUGUGGAGCUUUGCUGGCCUCCCAGCUGGUCACUGGCCUGUGGUGCGUUCUCUCCCUGCAGCCACCCUCUCUCAUCUCCACAGCCCUCUGCUGGCUGUGGACGGCCUGUCCUAGACCCUUUCCGCCUCUUUCAGUCUCCCUUUCUCAGUAAAAACCCUGGAGGUCAAAAUUAUCUUCCUGACAAUAAUGCUAAGAUGUUAUUUGCUCUUUUCACAACUGCUGUUUGUGAAUGAUUAUAUGAAAGGAUUAGGGUGGAAAACUGCUGACACAAUGGCUGCAGGUACUACGAGGGAUAAAAGACCACUUUUACUUCAGAAUGUCCUUGAUGAAGCAGCAAAAUCGUUUUAUUUAAAGCAUGUGUGGAUUUUAUCCAUUUUCUAUGAUGAAUUUCAUAG